rnacentral:lncRNA from 1 species
GGACCAGGGAGGGAGAGGUGCCCUAGUCACUGAGACUCAAUUCCUUUUUGAACAGCGUCUGACAUUUAUUGAAAAUCAGGAAAAGACGUUUGUCCAGGUAGUGUAGAAGAGCUGGGCAGAGUGCUGGGGUUACUGUGUUGGACAAAAGGCACACGUCAGAGAGACAGCUGCACAUUCAGAAGAGAACUGGAUUCUGGGCGAAACUAACAGGUCCACAGGAGCAGGAGCGGGAGCGGGAGCGGGAGCAGGAGAUGUCUCUGGGAGUAGGGAGGGAGUGGGCCCCGCUGACGGUGAAAGGCUGGCCGGCCCCUCCGCGGCGGUGGAGAGCUGUUGCAAUCAUCGUCUCGGGGGGCAGUGAGCAGCUCAGGCACCCCACCCCCCCGGGGGGGUGGUGGUGAGUCCAGAUCCCCGAAGGCUGCAGGGCGUCGGCGGGAGCGAUGC